UGGCAAUAGCGUAAUUUCGGAUUGAUUUGAGCUUGGUUUGAGGUAAUGCUUCUACACAAGUAAUGAUAAGCCCCAGCUUUAAUAUCAGUUGGAAGUGGACACUACCCAAAUAUAGCACUCAAAUCUGUUGGGGGUUGCAUUUGGAUUCAGUGGUUAUAUUGCGGGUGGUGUACUUAACACAUUAAGGAACUUAUUCAUGUUUUGGGACAACUCACUUGCUCAUACCUCUAGUAUAUUGGGCAGUUGUGUUGCCCCCUUUGGCGCAAGGCUCUGGCUUUUGUACACUACUAAUGUUGACAGUACUCAAGCUGUUCAUACAGGAGUAUAUUGGUGGAGGGACUUGCACAUGGACUACUACGGAGAUGCACACAUGGAAGAAGAGGCAUUACAUUGAUUGAUCAUGGUUACUUACUUGGAGGGGCACACAUUGGCUAGCUUUGCCCAAUUUCCAUGCUCAUGCGUGGACACUUUUAGGAUCUGAUAGUGAUUUCGAAUCUAUCUGAUAUGUUUUACCAGUCCCCUCCUUCCUGGUAAGAUUCUUUCCGCAGCGUUAUUCCAAAAAACAAAAAUUGCAGUUAAAAGGAGUACAUAACCAAGAAGCUUAUGUAAAAUGUGAGAUACAAGCAUGCACAAUGAUCCAUCCAAUUGGCAACAGCAUAAGUGCACAAAACAGAAGUAUAGACAUGGUUGUUUAUAAAGCUAGAUUUUUUUCCCA